ensembl:lncRNA
CAGGAAGUUGGCUGGCAGCUGCUUUAUUGAAAUGUUUUGUACAAAGUUUUUCUGUCUCUAAACAGCAAGUUAUGCGCUGAGCUGAUGGACUUUUAAAAUCUUUCUUUCUUCGUGUACAAACUGUAGCUUCAUAUAAGUUCUGCUGCUGCCUUCAGACAGAGAUUGGACAACUCUGGUUGGAUUUUCUUAUCUUUCUGCCUCAUCAGCUUCACAGAACGUCCAGCAGCUCAGAGACUGAAGAGCAGCUCCCUCCUCUUCAUCUUCUUCACAGUGUGGAUCUCUUUGCACCAAGUCUCAACAUGGCAAAUGAGCGCUGGAAACCUGCUGCAUUAUUUAGAAAUCAGCCUCCUGCUUACCGCUGCUGCUAAUGUGUGCAGAGGGAAGGCUGCAGAAAACCCAGAACGUGACUCGGACCACCCACGGAGAGGGCGGCAGGCGGAGGCUUCACGUCUUCAUCAGCGCUCCCCGGUGUCCUGACAGAUGGAGGGAACAGAGCGGCAGCGUUCGGCAGCCGGAGGACGACAACCUACUCUGAAACCACACAAACUGGAGGCCCAAACCUCCAACACAAACACAGUGUGGAGGAGGCAAAUCUGGUGAAGUCGCAAAGCAUGAGCACAUACAGAAGUUUUAACGCUGCUUCUUAACAUAAGAAUCUGAUUUAAUUAGAUUAUUAAGGGACAAAAGAUUUCCUCAUUCAUAGUGUUUCUGUUUAUAACUCAGAUGUUGGAUCGACCCUGUUAGAUUACGGUUAAUUAUCAUGUUUUUCUUCUGUUCUUAAGUUUCCUAUUCUAGAAAGCACAAACACAUCUGUGCAGCUUUCUAUAAAAGCACAAUAAAGCUCUGAGUUGUGUAUUAGAUAUUAAUGAGCAGUAGACACGAC